UUGGGGCUAGGGUAAGGUUUAAGGUUUUUGGUGUUAGGGUUUAAAUCACUGUCCAAAACCUUUGUAGGAAGUCUUUUCCAACCUUUUGGAGUUAGUUAGACAAAAAAAAAAAGAUAAAUGAAAAAAAAAUACUUGGGGUGUUCGGGCUUCCUGAAGGUAUUAGGUUAUGGGGCUAGGGUAAGGUUUAAGGUUUUUGGCGUUAGGGUUAAAAUAACUGUCCAAAACCUUUUUAGGAACAUGUUUCAGACCUUUUGGAGUUGGUUACACCAAAAGAAAUGUAAAAUGAAAAAAAAAUUUUUUUGGGUGUUCGGGCUUCCUGAAGGUAAUACUUUGUAUUACCUUUGUAGGAAGUCUUUUCCAACCUUUUGGAGUUAGUCUUUUGUAGGAAGUCUUUUCCAACCUUUUGGAGUUAGUUAGACAAAAAAAAAAGAUAAAUGAAAAAAAAAUAUUUGGGGUGUUCGGGCUUCCUGAAGGUAAUACCCGGGUAUUAGGUUAUGGGGCUAGGGUAAGGUUUAAGGUUUUUGGCGUAAGGGUUAAAAUCACUGUCCAAAACCUUUUUAGGAACAUGUUUCAGACCUUUUGGAGUUGGUUACACCAAAAAAAAUGUAAAAUGAAAAAAAAAAUUUUUUGGGUGUUCGGGCUUCCUGAAGGUAAUACUAGGUUAUGGGGCUAGGGUAAUGUUUAAGGUUUUUGGUGUUAGGGUUAAAAUCAAUGUCCAAAACCUUUGUAGGAACUCUUUUUCAACCUUUGAGAGCAAGUUAGACCAAAACAAAAAGAAAAAUAAAAAAUAUAUAUUUGGGGUGUUCGGGCUUCCUGAAGGUAAUACCCGGGUAUUAGGUUUUGGGGCUAGGGUUAGGUUUAAGGUUUUUGGCGUUAGGGUAAAAAUAACUGUCCAAUAUUUUUUAAGGAACAUGUUUCAGACCUUUGGGAGUUAGUUAGACAAAAAAAAGAAAAAAAAAAAAUAUAUAUUUGGGGUGUUCGGGUUUCCUGAAGGUAAUACCCGGGUAUUAGGUUUUGGGGCUAGGGUAAGGUUUAAGGUUUUUGGUGUUAGGGUUAAAAUCACUGUCCAAAACCUUUGUAGGAACUCUUUUCCAACCUUUUGGAGUUAGUUAGACCAAAAAAAAAAAAAAAAUGAAAGAAAUUUAUUUGGGGUCUUCGGGCUUCCUGAAAGAAAUACCCAGGUAUUAGGUUAUGGGGCUAGGGUAAGGUUUAAGGUUUUUGGCGUUAGGGUUAAAAUCACUGUCCAAAACCUUUUUAGGAACAUGUUUCAGACCUUUUGGAGUUGGUUACACCAAAAAAAAAUGUAAAAUGAAAAGAAAAUAUUUGGGGUGUUCAAGCUUCCUGAAGGUAAUACCCGAGUAUUAGGUUAUGGGGCUAUAGUAAGGUUUAAGGUUUUUGGCGUUAGGGUUAAAAUCACUGUCCAAAACCUUUUUAGGAACUAUUUUCCAACCUUUUGGAGUUAGCUAGACCAAAAAAAAAAUGAAAAAUGAAAAAAAAUAUAUUUGGGGUUUUUGGGUUACUGAAGGUAAUACCCGGGUAUUAGGUUUUGGGGCUAGGGUUAGGUUUAAGGUUUUUGGCGUAAGGGUUAAAAUCACUGUCCAAUAUUUUUUAAGGAACAUCUUUCAGACCUCUGGGAGUUAGUUAGACAAAAAAAAAAAGAAAAAGAAAAAAAAAAUUUGGGGUGUUCGGGCUUCCUGAAGGUAAUACCCGGGUAUUAGGUUUUGGGGCUAGGAUUAGGUUUAAGGUUUUUGGCGUUAGUGUUAAAAUCACCGUCCAAAACCUUUGUAGGAACUCUUUUCAGACCUUUUGGAGUUAGUUAGACCAAAAAAAAAAAAAAAAUGAAAAAAAAAUAUUUGGGGUCUUCGGGCUUCCUGAAGGAAAUACCCAGGUAUUAGGUUUUGGGGCUAGGGUAAGGUUUAAGGUUUUUGGUGUUAGGGUUAAAAUCACUGUCCAAAACCUUUUUAGGAACAUGUUUCAGACCUGUUGGAGUAGGCUACACCAAAAAAAAAUGUAAAAUGAAAAGAAAAUAUUUGGGGUGUUCAAGCUUCCUGAAGGUAAUACCCGGGUAUUAGGUUAUGGGGCUAUAGUAAGGUUUAAGGUUUUUGGCGUUAGGGUUAAAAUCACUGUCCAAAACCUUUGUAGGAACUAUUUUCCAACCUUUUGGAGUUAGUUAGACCAAAAAAAAAAACGAAAAAUGAAAAAAAAUAUUUGGGGUUUUCGGGCUUACUGAAGGUAAUACCCGGGUAUUAGGUUUUGGGGCUAGGGUUAGGUUUAAGGUUUUUGGCGUCAGGGUUAAAAUCACUGUCCAAUAUUUUUUAAGGAACAUCUUUCAGACCUCUGGGAGUUAGUUAGACAAAAAAAAAAGAAAAAGAAAAAAAAAAUUGGGGUGUUCGGGCUUCCUGAAGGUAAUACCCGGGUAUUAGGUUUUGGGGCUAGGGUUAGGUUUAAGGUUUUUGGCGUUAGGGUUAAAAUCACUGUCCAAAACCUUUGUAGGAACUCUUUUCCAACCUUUGGGAAUUAGUUAGACAAAAAAAAAAAAGAUAAAUGAAAAAAAAAUAUUUGGGGUGUUCGGGCUUCCUGAAGGUAAUACUUUGUAUUACCUUUGUAGGAAGUCUUUUCCAACCUUUUGGAGUUAGUCUUUUGUAGGAAGUCUUUUCCAACCUUUUGGAGUUAGUUAGACAAAAAAAAAAAAGAUAAAUGAAAAAAAAAUAUUUGGGGUGUUCGGGCUUCCUGAAGGUAAUACCCGGGUAUUAGGUUAUGGGGCUAGGGUAAGGUUCAAGGUUUUUGGCGUAAGGGUUAAAAUCACUGUCCAAAACCUUUUUAGGAACAUGUUUCAGACCUUUUGGAGUUGGUUACACCAAAAGAAAUGUAAAAUGAAAAAAAAAUUUUUUUGGGUGUUCGGGCUUCCUGAAGGUAAUACUUUGUAUUACCUUUGUAGGAAGUCUUUUCCAACCUUUUGGAGUUAGUCUUUUGUAGGAAGUCUUUUCCAACCUUUUGGAGUUAGUUAGACAAAAAAAAAAAGAUAAAUGAAAAAAAAAUAUUUGGGGUGUUCGGGCUUCCUGAAGGUAAUACCCGGGUAUUAGGUUAUGGGGCUAGGGUAAGGUUUAAGGUUUUUGGCGUAAGGGUUAAAAUCACUGUCCAAAACCUUUUUAGGAACAUGUUUCAGACCUUUUGGAGUUGGUUACACCAAAAAAAAUGUAAAAUGAAAAAAAAAUUUUUUGGGGUGUUCGGGCUUCCUGAAGGUAAUACUAGGUUUCUGGGCUAGGGUAAUGUUUAAGGUUUUUGGCGUUAGGGUUAAAAUCAAUGUCCAAAACCUUUGUAGGAACUCUUUUCCAACCUUUGAGAGCAAGUUAGACCAAAAAAAAAAAGAAAAAUAAAAAAUAUAUAUUUGGGGUGUUCGGGCUUCCUGAAGGUAAUACCCGGGUAUUAGGUUUUGGGGCUAGGGUUAGGUUUAAGGUUUUUGGCGUUAGGGUUAAAAUCACUGUCCAAAACCUUUGUAGGAACUCUUUUCCAACCUUUGGGAAUUAGUUAGACAAAAAAAAAAAAGAUAAAUGAAAAAAAAAUAUUUGGGGUGUUCGGGCUUCCUGAAGGAAAUACCCGGGUAUUAGGUUUUGGGGCUAGGGUUAGGUUUAAGGUUUUUGGCGUUAGGGUUAAAAUAACUGUCCAAUAUUUUUUAAGGAACAUGUUUCAGACCUUUGGGAGUUAGUUAGACAAAAAAAAAAGAAAAAGAAAAAAAAAUAUUUGGGGUGUUCGGGUUUCAUGAAGGUAAUACCCGGGUAUUAGGUUAUGGGGCUAGGGUAAGGUUUAAGGUUUUUGGCGUUAGAGUUAAAAUCAGUGUCCAAAACCUUUUAAGGAACAUGUUUAAGACCUUUUGGAGUUUGUUACACCAAAAAAAAUGUAAAAUGAAAAAAAAAAUAUGUGGGGUGUUCGGGCUUCCUGAAGGUAAUACCCGGGUAUUAGGUUUUGGGGCUAGGGUAAGGUUUAAGGUUUUUGGUGUUAGGGUUAAAAUCACUGUCCAAAACCUUUGUAGGAACUCUUUUCCAACCUUUUGGAGUUAGUUAGACCAAAAAAAAAAAAAAAUGAAAAAAAUAUAUUUGGGGUCUUCGGGCUUCCUGAAGGUAAUACCCGGGUAUUAGGUUAUGGGGCUAGGGUAAGGUUUAAGGUUUUUCAGCGUGAGGGUAAAAAUCACUGUCCAAAACCUUUGUAGGAACUCUUUUCCAACCUUUGGGAAUUAGUUAGACAAAAAAAAUAAGAUAAAUGAAAAAAAAAUUUUUGGGGUGUUCGGGCUUCCUGAACGUAAUACCCGGGUAUUAGGUUUUGGGGCUAGGGUAAGGUUUAAGGUUUUUGGUGUUAGGGUUAAAAUAACUGUCCAAAACCUUUGUAGGAACUCUUUUCCAACCUUUUGGAGUUAGUUAGACCAAAAAAAAAAAUAAAGAAAAAAAUAUAUUUGGGGUCUUCGGGCUUCCUGAAGGAAAUACCCAGGUAUUAGGUUAUGGGGUUAGGGUAUGGUUUAAGGUUUUUGGCGUUAGGGUUAAAAUCACUGUCCAAAACCUUUUUAGGAACAUGUUUCAGACCUUUUGGAGUUGGUAACACCAAAAAAAAAUGUAAAAUAAAAAAAAAUAUUUGGGGUGUUCAAGCUUGCUGAAGGUAAUACCCGGGUAUUAGGUUUUGGGGCUAGGGUAAGGUUUGAGGUUUUUGGUGUUAGGGUUAAAAUCACUGUCCAAAACCUUUUUAGGAACAUGUUUCAGACCUUUUGGAGUAGGUUACACCAAAAAAAAAUGUAAAAUGAAAAAAAAAUAUUUGGGGUGUUCAAGCUUCCUGAAGGUAAUACCAAGGUAUUAGGUUAUGGGGCUAUAGUAAGGUUUCAGGUUUUUGGCGUUAGGGUUAAAAUCACUGUCCAAAACCUUUGUAGAAACUAUUUUCCAACCUUUUGGAGCAAGUUAGACCAAAAAAAAAACGAAAAAUGAAAAAAAAAUAUUUGGGGUGUUCGGGCUUCCUGAAGGUAAUACCAAGGUAUUAGGUUAUGGGGCUAGGGUAAGGUUUAAGGUUUUUGGCGUUAGGGUUAAAAUCACUGUCCAAAACCUUUUUAGGAACAUGUUUCAGACCUUUUGGAGUUGGUUACACCAAAAAAAAUGUAAAAUGAAAAAGAAUUUUUUUUGGGUGUUCGGGCUUCCUGAAGGUAAUACUAGGUUUCUGGGCUAGGGUAAUGUUUUAGGUUUUUGGCGUUAGGGUUAAAAUCAAUGUCCAAAACCUUUGUAGGAACUCUUUUCCAACCUUUGAGAGCAAGUUAGACCAAAACAAAAAGAAAAAUAAAAAAUAUAUAUUUGGGGUGUUCGGGCUUCCUGAAGGUAAUACCCGGGUAUUAGGUUAUGGGGCUAGGGUAAAGUUUAAGGUUUUGUGGCGUGAGGGUAAAAAUCACUGUCCAAAACCUUUGUAGGAACUCUUUUCCAACCUUUGGGAAUAAGUUAGACAAAAAAAAUAAGAUAAAUGAAAAAAAAAUAUUUGGGGUGUUCGGGCUUCCUGAAGGUAAUACCCGGGUAUUAGGUUUUGGGGCUAGGGUUAGGUUUAAGGUUUUUGGCGUUAAGGUUAAAAUAACUGUCCAAUAUUUUUUAAGGAACAUGUUUCAGACCUUUGGGAGUUAGUUAGACAAAACAAAAAGAAAAAGAAAAAAAUAUAUAUUUGGGGUGUUCGGGUUUCCUGAAGGUAAUACCCGGGUAUUAGGUUAUGGGGCUAUAGUAAGGUUUAAGGUUUUUGGCGUUAGAGUUAAAAUCAGUGUCCAAAACCUUUUUAGGAACAUGUUUAAGACCUUUUGGAGUUGGUUACACCAAAAAAAAAUGUAAAAUGAAAAAAAAAAAUAUUUGGGGUGUUCGGGCUUCCUGAAGGUAAUACCCGUAUAUUAGGUUUUGGAGCUAGGGUAAGGUUUAAGGUUUUUGGUGUUAGGGUUAAAAUCACUGUCCAAAACCUUUGUAGGAACUCUUUUCCAACCUUUUGGAGUUGGUUGCACCAAAAAAAAAUGUAAAAUGAAGAAGAAUUUUUUUUGGGUGUUCGGGCUUCCUGAAGGUAAUACUAGGUUUCUGGGCUAGGGUAAUGUUUUAGGUUUUUGGCGUUAGGGUUAAAACCAUGUCCAAAACCUUUGUAGGAACUCUUUUCCAACCUUUGAGAGCAAGUUAGACCAAAACAAAAAGAAAAAUAAAAAAUAUAUAUUUGGGGUGUUCGGGCUUCCUGAAGGUAAUACCCGGGUAUUAGGUUAUGGGGCUAGGGAAAGGUUUAAGGUUUUUGGCGUGAGGGUAAAAAUCACUGUCCAAAACCUUUGUAGGAACUCUUUUCCAACCUUUGGGAAUAAGUUAGACAAAAAAAAUAAGAUAAAUGAAAAAAAACAUAUUUGGGGUGUUCGGGCUUCCUGAAGGUAAUACCCGGGUAUUAGGUUUUGGGGCUAGGGUUAGGUUUAAGGUUUUUGGCGUUAGGGUUAAAAUAACUGUCCAAUAUUUUUUAAGGAACAUGUUUCAGACCUUUGGGAGUUAGUUAGACAAAAAAAAAGAAAAAGAAAAAAAUAUUUAUUUGGGGUGUUCGGGUUUCCUGAAGGUAAUACCCGGGUAUUAGGUUAUGGGGCUAUAGUAAGGUUUAAGGUUUUUGGCGUUAGGG